UUCACAAUGUAAGUCAUUCUAGCAUUUCCCACAUUCAUAUUGAUAUCUAGAUUCAUUAGCAUUAAUAUGAAUGUGGGAAAUGCUAGAAUGACUUAUAUUGUGAAACGGAG
rnacentral:misc_RNA from 1 species